GCUCGCUUCUCUUUCUGUCAGC
rnacentral:miRNA from 1 species